rnacentral:rRNA from 1 species
UACGGAGGGCGCAAGCGUUAUUCGGAAUCACUGGGCGUAAAGCGCGUGUAGGCGGCUUGGCAAGUCGGGUGUGAAAUCCCGAGGCUCAACCUCGGAACUGCACUCGAAACUGCUUGGCUCGAGUCCCGGAGAGGGUGGCGGAAUUCCCGGUGUAGGGGUGAAAUCCGUAGAUAUCGGGAGGAACACCAGUGGCGAAGGCGGCCACCUGGACGGUGACUGACGCUGAGACGCGAAAGCGUGGGGAGCAAACAGG